rnacentral:rRNA from 1 species
AUGGAGGGGGACGGGAGGAAGGAGGGCGAGACGCCGGCGGCGGCGGUGAGAGGCGUGGCGUCGUUCGGGGCGUCCGUGCAGGAGUGGGGGCAGCACAUGAAGGCCAGCGUGGUGGGCGUGUGGCGGAAGGCGACGGCGAGGAGCGAGCAGGAGGCGGCGGAGGCGGACCUGCGCGCGGCCAAGGAGCAGGUGGAGGCCACCGACGAGGCCGAGGCCAAGAAGAAGCGCCUCGCCGGCUGA